rnacentral:rRNA from 1 species
GACGAAGGAUGCAAGCGUUAUCCGGAUUCAUUGGGUUUAGAGGGUGCGUAGGCGGCCAGAUAAGUCAGUGGUGAAAUCCUGUUGCUUAACAACAGAACUGCCAUUGAUACUGUUUGGCUUGAGUAUAGUUGCUGUGGGCGGAAUAUGACAUGUAGUGGUGAAAUACAUAGAGAUGUCAUAGAACACCGAUUGCGAAGGCAGCUCACAAAACUAUAACUGACGCUGAGGCACGAAAGUGCGGGGAUCAAACAGG